rnacentral:rRNA from 1 species
GAUGAACGCUGGCGGCGUGCCUAAUACAUGCAAGUCGAGCGAACGGACGAGAAGCUUGCUUCUCUGAUGUUAGCGGCGGACGGGUGAGUAACACGUGGAUAACCUACCUAUAAGACUGGGAUAACUUCGGGAAACCGGAGCUAAUACCGGAUAAUAUUUUGAACCGCAUGGUUCAAAAGUGAAAGACGGUCUUGCUGUCACUUAUAGAUGGAUCCGCGCUGCAUUAGCUAGUUGGUAAGGUAACGGCUUACCAAGGCAACGAUGCAUAGCCGACCUGAGAGGGUGAUCGGCCACACUGGAACUGAGACACGGUCCAGACUCCUACGGGAGGCAGCAGUAGGGAAUCUUCCGCAAUGGGCGAAAGCCUGACGGAGCAACGCCGCGUGAGUGAUGAAGGUCUUCGGAUCGUAAAACUCUGUUAUUAGGGAAGAACAUAUGUGUAAGUAACUGUGCACAUCUUGACGGUACCUAAUCAGAAAGCCACGGCUAACUACGUGCCAGCAGCCGCGGUAAUACGUAGGUGGCAAGCGUUAUCCGGAAUUAUUGGGCGUAAAGCGCGCGUAGGCGGUUUUUUAAGUCUGAUGUGAAAGCCCACGGCUCAACCGUGGAGGGUCAUUGGAAACUGGAAAACUUGAGUGCAGAAGAGGAAAGUGGAAUUCCAUGUGUAGCGGUGAAAUGCGCAGAGAUAUGGAGGAACACCAGUGGCGAAGGCGACUUUCUGGUCUGUAACUGACGCUGAUGUGCGAAAGCGUGGGGAUCAACCAGGAUUAGAUACCCUGGUAGUCCACGCCGUAAACGAUGAGUGCUAAGUGUUAGGGGGUUUCCGCCCCUUAGUGCUGCAGCUAACGCAUUAAGCACUCCGCCUGGGGAGUACGACCGCAAGGUUGAAACUCAAAGGAAUUGACGGGGACCCGCACAAGCGGUGGAGCAUGUGGUUUAAUUCGAAGCAACGCGAAGAACCUUACCAAAUCUUGACAUCCUUUGACAACUCUAGAGAUAGAGCCUUCCCCUUCGGGGGGGCAAAGUGACAGGUGGUGCAUGGUUGUCGUCAGCUCGUGUCGUGAGAUGUUGGGUUAAGUCCCGCAACGAGCGCAACCCUUAAGCUUAGUUGCCAUCAUUAAGUUGGGCACUCUAAGUUGACUGCCGGUGACAAACCGGAGGAAGGUGGGGAUGACGCCAAAUCAUCAUGCCCCUUAUGAUUUGGGCUACACACGUGCUACAAUGGACAAUACAAAGGGCAGCGAAACCGCGAGGUCAAGCAAAUCCCAUAAAGUUGUUCUCAGUUCGGAUUGUAGUCUGCAACUCGACUACAUGAAGCUGGAAUCGCUAGUAAUCGUAGAUCAGCAUGCUACGGUGAAUACGUUCCCGGGUCU